UACGUAGGGUGCGAGCGUUAAUCGGAAUUACUGGGCGUAAAGCGUGCGCAGGCGGUGGUGUAAGACAGGUGUGAAAUCCCCGGGCUUAACCUGGGAACUGCAUUUGUGACUGCAUCGCUGGAGUGCGGCAGAGGGGGAUGGAAUUCCGCGUGUAGCAGUGAAAUGCGUAGAUAUGCGGAGGAACACCGAUGGCGAAGGCAAUCCCCUGGGCCUGCACUGACGCUCAUGCACGAAAGCGUGGGGAGCAAACAGG
rnacentral:rRNA from 1 species